GACGAACGCUGGCGGCGUGCUUAACACAUGCAAGUCGAACGGAAAGGCCCUGCUUUUGUGGGGUGCUCGAGUGGCGAACGGGUGAGUAACACGUGAGUAACCUGCCCUUGACUUUGGGAUAACUUCAGGAAACUGGGGCUAAUACCGGAUAGGAGCUCCUGCUGCAUGGUGGGGGUUGGAAAGUUUCGGCGGUUGGGGAUGGACUCGCGGCUUAUCAGCUUGUUGGUGGGGUAGUGGUUUACCAAGGCUUUGACGGGUAGCCGGCCUGAGAGGGUGACCGGCCACAUUGGGACUGAGAUACGGCCCAGACUCCUACGGGAGGCAGCAGUGGGGAAUAUUGCACAAUGGGCGGAAGCCUGAUGCAGCAACGCCGCGUGCGGGAUGACGACCUUCGGGUUGUAAACCGCUUUCGCCUGUGACGAAGCGUGAGUGACGGUAAUGGGUAAAGAAGCACCGGCUAACUACGUG
rnacentral:rRNA from 1 species